ACAUUGGUGGUUCAAUGGUAGAAUUCUCACCUACCAUGUGGAAAUCCAGGUUUGAUUCCUGGCCAAUGCA
rnacentral:tRNA from 1 species